rnacentral:rRNA from 1 species
CAGGUGGGACUACCUGCUGAACUUAAGCAUAUCU